GAGCGGAUAUAAUCCGCUCGCCUUAAUGCAACUCCCUGUUGGGAACGGUCACAAGUCCGUGUAAAUGCAGAGUGAGGA
rnacentral:ribozyme from 1 species